GAGUUGCAGCUUAUGGAGUCUUGGGGAAGCUUGUUAAAGCUCCAGGGUUCUGUAAGACAUUCUUGUGCAGCCGCUGGAUUCACUUUCAGAGAAUACUAUAUCAGAUGGGUCCUGUAGAUUUUAGAAAAAGAUCUUGAGUCCUUGAUUUAAUUACAAACACAGCUGGGGGGUGAUUACAGAGUAUGCUUCCUAUGUGAGAAGGGCACUUCCCAUUUCAAGAGAUCAUACAAAAAAUAAAAUUUCAUGCCUCCAAAUAAACAGAUUGGAGACUUCUUUUUUCCCUGAGAAGAAAUGG